GACGAACGCUGGCGGCGUGCUUAACACAUGCAAGUCGAACGGAAAGGCCCUGCUUUUGUGGGGUGCUCGAGUGGCGAACGGGUGAGUAACACGUGAGUAACCUGCCCUUGACUUUGGGAUAACUUCAGGAAACUGGGGCUAAUACCGGAUAGGAGCUCCUGCUGCAUGGUGGGGGUUGGAAAGUUUCGGCGGUUGGGGAUGGACUCGCGGCUUAUCAGCUUGUUGGUGGGGUAGUGGCUUACCAAGGCUUUGACGGGUAGCCGGCCUGAGAGGGUGACCGGCCACAUUGGGACUGAGAUACGGCCCAGACUCCUACGGGAGGCAGCAGUGGGGAAUAUUGCACAAUGGGCGGAAGCCUGAUGCAGCAACGCCGCGUGCGGGAUGACGGCCUUCGGGUUGUAAACCGCUUUCGCCUGUGACGAAGCGUGAGUGACGGUAAUGGGUAAAGAAGCACCGGCUAACUACGUGCCAGCAGCCGCGGUGAUACGUAGGGUGCGAGCGUUGUCCGGAUUUAUUGGGCGUAAAGGGCUCGUAGGUGGUUGAUCGCGUCGGAAGUGUAAUCUUGGGGCUUAACCCUGAGCGUGCUUUCGAUACGGGUUGACUUGAGGAAGGUAGGGGAGAAUGGAAUUCCUGGUGGAGCGGUGGAAUGCGCAGAUAUCAGGAGGAACACCAGUGGCGAAGGCGGUUCUCUGGGCCUUUCCUGACGCUGAGGAGCGAAAGCGUGGGGAGCGAACAGGCUUAGAUACCCUGGUAGUCCACGCUGUAAACGGUGGGUACUAGGUGUGGGGUCCAUUCCACGGGUUCCGUGCCGUAGCUAACGCUUUAAGUACCCCGCCUGGGGAGUACGGCCGCAAGGCUAAAACUCAAAGGAAUUGACGGGGCCCCGCACAAGCGGCGGAGCAUGCGGAUUAAUUCGAUGCAACGCGUAGAACCUUACCUGGGUUUGACAUGGAUCGGGAGUGCUCAGAGAUGGGUGUGCCUCUUUUGGGGUCGGUUCACAGGUGGUGCAUGGCUGUCGUCAGCUCGUGUCAUGAGAUGUUGGGUUAAGUCCCGCAACGAGCGCAACCCUUGUUCACUGUUGCCAGCACGUUAUGGUGGGGACUCAGUGGAGACCGCCGGGGUCAACUCGGAGGAAGGUGGGGAUGACGUCAAAUCAUCAUGCCCCUUAUGUCCAGGGCUUCACGCAUGCUACAAUGGCUGGUACAGAGAGUGGCGAGCCUGUGAGGGUGAGCGAAUCUCGGAAAGCCGGUCUCAGUUCGGAUUGGGGUCUGCAACUCGACCUCAUGAAGUCGGAGUCGCUAGUAAUCGCAGAUCAGCAACGCUGCGGUGAAUACGUUCCCGGGGCU
rnacentral:rRNA from 1 species